rnacentral:rRNA from 1 species
UAUUAUGAGAGUUUGAUCCUAGCUCAGGAUGAACGCUGGCGGCGUGGAUAAGGCAUGCAAGUCGAGAGGGUUAGACCCUCGGCAAACGGGUUAGUAAUACAUAGGAAUCUGCCCUGAAGUCGUGAAUAACUCGGAGAAAUCCGUGAUAAUACACGAUAGUCUCUACGGAGUAAAGAUUUAUCGCUUCAGGAGGAGCCUAUGUCCUAUCAGCUUGUUGGUAGUGUAAUGGACUACCAAGGCUAUGACGGGUAGGGGGUGUGAGAGCACGACCCCCAACAUUGGGACUGAGACACUGCCCAAACUCCUACGGGAGGCUGCAGUCGAGAAUAUUCGUCAAUGCCCGAAAGGGUGAACGAGCGACGCCGCGUGCGGGAUGAAGGCCUUCGGGUCGUAAACCGCUUUUCUUAGGGAAGAAUGUAAUGACGGUACCUAAGGAAUAAGAGGCUACUAACUCUGUGCCAGCAGUAGCGGUAAUACAGAGGCCUCAAGCGUUAUCCGGAUUUAUUGGGCGUAAAGAGCAUGUAGGCGGAUAUGUUAGUCGGAUGUCAAAUCUCAGGGCUCAACCCUGAAACUGCAUUCGAAACGGCAUAUCUAGAGACAGUCAGAGAUCAAUGGAACGUAUGGUGUAGCAGUGAAAUGCGUUGAUAUCAUACGGAACACCAAAGGCGAAGGCAUUUGGUUAGGGCUGUUCUGACGCUGAGAUGCGAAAGCGUGGGUAGCGAAUGGGAUUAGAUACCCCAGUAGUCCACGCCGUAAACGAUGCAUACUAGGUAUUAAGAGAAUCGACCCUCUUAGUGUCGUAGCUAACGCGUUAAGUAUGCCGCCUGGGAAGUACGGUCGCAAGACUAAAACUCAAAGGAAUAGACGGGGAUCCGCACAAGUGGUGGAGCAUGUGGUUUAAUUCGACGGUAAGCGGGACACCUCACCAUGGUUUGAAACUAUACUGCAUUAUACAGAAAUGUAUAAGCCUUCGAGGGUGUAUAGCAGGCGCUGCACGGUUGUCGUCAGCUCGUGUCGUAAGAUGUUCUGUUAAGUCAGGAAACGAGCGCAACCCCUAUCGUGUGUUAUAUUGUCACACGAGACUGCCCGGAACUUUGCGCAUUAGCGCAAAGUAAAUUCAAAAUAUAAAAUUACAAAUCCUAAAUAAAUUCAAAAUUAUAAAUUUCAAAAUUUAAAACGAAAGUUUUGGACAUUGAAAUUUUGAUCAUUGGAUAUUGUUUGGAAUUUGAUAUUUGUAAUUUGUGAUUUACUUUGUUCGUUAGUGAAUAAAGUUCCGGGAGGAAGGUGGGGAUGACGUCAAAUCAGCGUGGCCCUUUGACACCAUGGGCAACACACGUGCUACAAUGGCCAAUACAAAGGGUUGCCAAGUCGUAAGACGGAGCUAAUCCCAAAAAGUUGGUCUCAGUUCGGAUUGGAGUCUGCAACUCGACUCCAUGAAGCCGGAAUCACUAGUAAUCGUAGAUCAGAACGCUACGGUGAAUACGUUCUCGGAUCUUGUACUCACCGCCCGUCACACCAAGAGAGUCGGUAAUACCCAAAGACCCUGUUUCAAAGCAGGGGCCACGGUGGGAUCGAUAAUAAGGGUGAAGUCGUAACAAGGCAUCCGUAGCGGAAGCUGUGGAUGGAUCACCUCCUUU